rnacentral:pre_miRNA from 1 species
GGAAACUACCGUUGGAUCGAGAAAUGAACGUUCGAGAUUCAUCCACGUCACCAUGAGUUAAAAUUUAACUCCCAAUAAAAUUUUAACUCAUGAGUGAAUCUACGAGUUAAAUUUUAACUCAGGUUGACGUGGAAGAAUCUCGAACCUCCAUUUCACGACCCAACGGUCCAAGUUUCC